rnacentral:tRNA from 1 species
AGCUGAUGUAGCUCAAUUGGUAGAGCAACUGAUUUGUAAUUAGUAGGUUAUGGGUUCAACUCCCUUCAUCAGCUU